rfam:Lepisosteus oculatus linkage group LG17, whole genome shotgun sequence.
GUCACCAGCUAUAUCACCCUGCAACUCACAACUGGCAACCCACUGAAGCUAAGCGGGUGUGAGCCUGGUCAGUACCUGGAUGGGAGACCUUCUGGGAAAAACUAAGGUUGCUGCUGGAA